UGAACUGAAGAGUUUGAUCCUGGCUCAGAUUGAACGCUGGCGGCAUGCUUUACACAUGCAAGUCGAACGGCAGCACGGGGGUAACCCUGGUGGCGAGUGGCGAACGGGUGAGUAAUGCAUCGGAACGUAUCCUGUUGUGGGGGACAACCUACCGAAAGGUGGGCUGAUACCGCAUGAGACCUGAGGGUGAAAGCGGGGGACUGGAGACGGCCUCGCGCGAUGGGAGCGGCUGAUGUCCGAUUAGCUAGUUGGUGGGGUAAAGGCCUACCAAGGCUGCGAUCGGUAGCGGGUCUGAGAGGAUGAUCCGCCACACUGGGACUGAGACACGGCCCAGACUCCUACGGGAGGCAGCAGUGGGGAAUUUUGGACAAUGGGGGCAACCCUGAUCCAGCCAUGCCGCGUGAGUGAAGAAGGCCUUCGGGU
rnacentral:rRNA from 1 species